rnacentral:rRNA from 1 species
UACGUAGGGAGCAAGCGUUGUCCGGAAUCAUUGGGCGUAAAGCGCGCGUAGGCGGCCCGGUAAGUCCGCUCUGAAAGUCCAGGGCUCAACCCUGGAAAGCGGGUGGAUACUGCCGGGCUAGAAUCCGGAAGAGGCGAGUGGAAUUCCUGGUGUAGCGGUGAAAUGCGCAGAUAUCAGGAAGAACACCCGUGGCGAAAGCGGCUCUCUGGAACGGUACUGACGCUGAGACGCGAAAGCGUGGGGAGCGAACAGG